CAGUCGCCGCGGUAAUACAGAGGGUGCAAGCGUUAAUCGGAAUUACUGGGCGUAAAGCGCGCGUAGGUGGUUUGUUAAGUUGGAUGUGAAAGCCCCGGGCUCAACCUGGGAACUGCAUCCAAAACUGGCAAGCUAGAGUACGGUAGAGGGUGGUGGAAUUUCCGGUGUAGCGGUGAAAUGCGUAGAUAUAUGAAGGAACACCAGUGGCGAAGGCGACCACCUGGACUGAUACUGACACUGAGGUGCGAAAGCGUGGGGAGCAAACAGGAUUAGAUACCCCCGUAGUCCCUGUCUCUUAUAC
rnacentral:rRNA from 1 species